rnacentral:rRNA from 1 species
UACGUAGGGGGCUAGCGUUAUCCGGAAUUACUGGGCGUAAAGGGUGCGUAGGCGGUCUUUCAAGCCAGAAGUGAAAGGCUACGGCUCAACCGUAGUAAGCUUUUGGAACUGUAAGACUUGAGUGCAGGAGAGGAGAGUGGAAUUCCUAGUGUAGCGGUGAAAUGCGUAGAUAUUAGGAGGAACACCAGUAGCGAAGGCGGCUCUCUGGACUGUAACUGACGCUGAGGCACGAAAGCGUGGGGAGCAAACAGGAUUAGAUACCCGCGUAGUCCCUGA